GCUACCUUCGGGCGAGGAGCCGCGGGAAUGCGGGGGGUCCUAGCGUUGUUCCGAAUUACUUGGCGUAAAGGGAUCGCAGGCGGAUUGUUAAGUCUAAAGUGGAAGCCCGGGGCGCAACCUCGGACGUGCUUUGGAUACUGGCAGUCUUGAGUUUGUGAGAGGAAAGCGGAAUUCAGGGUGUAGCGGUGAAAUGCUUAGAUAUCCUGAGGAACACCAGUGGCGAAAGCGGCUUUCUGGCACAUAACUGACGCUGAGGCUCGAAAGCGUGGGGAGCGAACGGGAUUAGAUACCCGUGUAGUC
rnacentral:rRNA from 1 species